rnacentral:rRNA from 1 species
CAGCCCGCGGUAAAACGGAGGGUGCAAGCGUUAAUCGGAAUUACUGGGCGUAAAGCGCACGCAGGCGGUCUGACAAGUCAGAUGUGAAAUCCCCGGGCUUAACCUGGGAACUGCAUUUGAAACUGUCAGGCUGGAGUCUUGUAGAGGGGGGUGGAAUUCCAGGUGUAGCGGUGAAAUGCGUAGAGAUCUGGAGGAAUACCGGUGGCGAAGGCGGCCCCCUGGACAAAGACUGACGCUCAGGUGCGAAAGCGUGGGGAGCAAACAGGAUUAGAUACCCGUGUAGUCCCUGUCUCUUAUACAC